GACGAACGCUGGCGGCGUGCUUAACACAUGCAAGUCGAACGAGAAUCUGCUGAAGGAGGAUUCGUCCAACGGAAGCAGAGGAAAGUGGCGGACGGGUGAGUAACGCGUGAGGAACCUGCCUUGAAGAGGGGGACAACAGUUGGAAACGACUGCUAAUACCGCAUGACGCAUAGAGGUCGCAUGAUCUUUAUGCCAAAGAUUUAUCGCUUCAAGAUGGCCUCGCGUCUGAUUAGCUGGUUGGCGGGGUAACGGCCCACCAAGGCGACGAUCAGUAGCCGGACUGAGAGGUUGAACGGCCACAUUGGGACUGAGAUACGGCCCAGACUCCUACGGGAGGCAGCAGUGGGGAAUAUUGGGCAAUGGGCGCAAGCCUGACCCAGCAACGCCGCGUGGAGGAAGAAGGUCUUCGGAUUGUAAACUCCUGUUGUUGAGGAAGAUAAUGACGGUACUCAACAAGGAAGUGACGGCUAACUACGUGCCAGCAGCCGCGGUAAAACGUAGGUCACAAGCGUUGUCCGGAAUUACUGGGUGUAAAGGGAGCGCAGGCGGGAGAACAAGUUGGAAGUGAAAUCCAUGGGCUCAACCCAUGAACUGCUUUCAAAACUGUUUUUCUUGAGUAGUGCAGAGGUAGGCGGAAUUCCCGGUGUAGCGGUGGAAUGCGUAGAUAUCGGGAGGAACACCAGUGGCGAAGGCGGCCUACUGGGCACCAACUGACGCUGAGGCUCGAAAGUGUGGGUAGCAAACAGGAUUAGAUACCCUGGUAGUCCACACCGUAAACGAUGAUUACUAGGUGUUGGAGGAUUGACCCCUUCAGUGCCGCAGUUAACACAAUAAGUAAUCCACCUGGGGAGUACGACCGCAAGGUUGAAACUCAAAGGAAUUGACGGGGGCCCGCACAAGCAGUGGAGUAUGUGGUUUAAUUCGACGCAACGCGAAGAACCUUACCAAGUCUUGACAUCCCUUGACGAUGCUGGAAACAGUAUUUCUCUUCGGAGCAAGGAGACAGGUGGUGCAUGGUUGUCGUCAGCUCGUGUCGUGAGAUGUUGGGUUAAGUCCCGCAACGAGCGCAACCCUUAUGGUCAGUUACUACGCAAGAGGACUCUGGCCAGACUGCCGUUGACAAAACGGAGGAAGGUGGGGAUGACGUCAAAUCAUCAUGCCCUUUAUGACUUGGGCUACACACGUACUACAAUGGCGUUAAACAAAGAGAAGCAAGACCGCGAGGUGGAGCAAAACUCAGAAACAACGUCCCAGUUCGGACUGCAGGCUGCAACUCGCCUGCACGAAGUCGGAAUUGCUAGUAAUCGUGGAUCAGCAUGCCACGGUGAAUACGUUCCCGGGCCUUGCACACACGGCCCGUC
rnacentral:rRNA from 1 species